AGGUGGCAAACAAGCUGCUGACAAUAUUGCAUCAAAUUCAUGAGAGGGCCAGGACCCCUAUGACACAAGGUGCUGAAUAAUUGCCAAUGCGUAAAGAGUCUUACUUUUACCCAUGAUGCUUGCAACACUCUAAGAUGGAGCAUCUGACUUCACCAUUGGAUGCUGCUGUUUGAUGUAAAGGACUUGAAGAUGAAUCCUGCCCCAGAAGUACAGAAAAUGUGUCUGCUGGUGUAUGAGAGCUUCACUUCAAGGUACAGGAAGCACACUAGAAGUACCAGUCACACAUUAACGAUCUACUCACAGAGAAACCAGAGCUUAAGCAUAUAUACGGAGCCAAACAUGAAGAGCUCUAUGAAGGAAGGGUUUUGUUUGAGAAGGACUGGGAGGAGAGAGUAAUGACUUCCAAGGAGACCAUAAAUGCCGGGAUGUCAAAGUUUAGGUCCUUGGUUGAAGGUGGAUCUAAAAUAAACGUGCCCAUCCCCAAACUUUGGCAAAGGUGAGACUGUUCCAUCAGCCCUGAGUGCUGGCAAAACAGGACAUCUAUAGCACGAGGCAGCAGAAUAUGUGCGCCCAACUGUGAUAGGAAGACUCAGAAAAAUUCAGCAACUUCAAGCAACUUUGUUUAUCCAAACAGACUGAUGAAAGUAUAUCAGACAGUGUUCUUUGAUUUUUCGUAUUUUAACAUAACAUUUAUGUUGUUGUGUAACCCCCGACAGCCCAUUUUGGGGCUCUGCCAUGCAGAUGUUGCUUUUAUGUCGUGGACUCAUUGUAGAACUGUUUGUUCUCUCGGUAAAAUGUUCAGUUGUAUCAUGCACUACAAAAGUCAAGUCUGUUUGGGUAGAAUGAUUAUUACAACUUUUUAAGUUAAUGCCUUCAUAACUAAAUUUUGAAGGAAUCAAUUUAUAAUAAUGAAUGCCUGAAUAAAGGUGUUCAACUUUUUUUAUUAUUAUAGAUUUCUUAAAUAAUUUAAUAAUUUCAUACUUAUUCAUACACAAAAGUGCAGCUAAUCAAUUCUAUAUUAAAAUGCAUUUUUUCAAUGCUUGAAUAUGUAAUAUACAUUUCUUUAACUACCAGUUGAUAAAUGUAGACUUUGUGUAAACAUUUUUUAACAUAGUUAAAAAAAUAUGUGUAUGCUAUCUGAUUGAACCAGCAGUGCUCAAAAUGAACUUUUAGAAGUCAAUCUGCUCUUUUGUCAACUGGGCACUUAAGCGCACAUUUUGUACUUUCAUGUGACUUUGUAUGUACCCCAGGCUAUACUAUUUUUGCCCUGUCUGUUUGUUUGUUGUUGUUUUUUGCAUCAAACUUAAACAUUUGCCAUGACUUUUGCAAUAUUGAAGAUAGCAACUUGAUAUUUGGCAUACAUGUGUAUCUUAUUGAGCUGCACAUUUUGAGUGAUGAAAGGUCAAGGUCAAAGUCAUCCUUCCAGGUCAAAGAUCAAAUAUAUGGGGGGGGGGGGGACAUAGUGUUUCACAAAACAUCUUUUUUUUAAUAUUUCAUGCUUUAUAUAUUUCUUACUGCAUGUAUUAUCAUUUAAAAAACUGUUUAUAUCAUUAAUUAAACUAGUUGAACUCAAAUUUAAUAACUUCUAGGAACUAUUGAUCAAUUUGCUGCAAAAUGUGAUCAGAUAAAACAAGAGGGCCAAGAUGGCCCUAGUUCGCUCACCUUUUUAUGCCCCCGGAUUGAUA